rnacentral:tRNA from 1 species
GCCCGGCUAGCUCAGCUGGUAGAGCAUUCGACUCUUAAUCGAAUUGUCGUGGGUUCGAGCCCCACGUUGGGCG